rnacentral:rRNA from 1 species
GACGAACCGUGCGAACGUUGUUCGGAAUCACUGGGCUUAAAGAGCGUGUAGGCGGCUUUACAGGUCCGUUGUGAAAACUCGAGGCUCAACCUCGAGACGCCGGUGGAAACCGUAAGGCUAGAGUCCGGAAGAGGAGAGUGGAAUUCCUGGUGUAGCGGUGAAAUGCGCAGAUAUCAGGAAGAACACCCGUGGCGAAGGCGGCUCUCUGGGACGGUACUGACGCUGAGACGCGAAAGCGUGGGGAGCAAACAGG